AUCUGCUUGUAUUUUUUAGGUUUUAACUUUGUUUUGGCUGUUUGCUUUUUUAUUUGUCUGUUUGAUUUUUUUCCUCAGCAGCUGAAGUGUGUGUGUGUGAGACAGGAAGAGGACACCCUGGGAUUCUUGCUGCAGCUGAGGCUGCACAAGCUCAUCACACUGCAAAACCGUGCCUGUGCCUCUCAGCCCUGCUUUCAUCCCUCCUCCCCUUCCCUUUCUCACUGCAGCUCUGAGCAGGCUGUCAGUCUACACUCCUGCACCCCCUCCUACCUCCUCCAGGUGUGGGUACUUGACUGCAAUCAAAUACUCUCUCCAGUAAAAGGUGGUGGAGAGAUUUCAUUAUGGGCUAGAGCUGUGGUGCUUGGGGACCUGUUUGUACAAUGGGAGCUUUGUGUGUCUGCGUUAUUCUGCUGCCAGAGGAAGAAGCCUGGAGUGCUGGAAGAUGCUCAUGUGUGCUGGGAGCUCAUAGAUAGAGCAGCUCAGAAGCAUUGGUCUCAAGGUUCCCAGAACAUCCUCCUCAAAGGACAUCAUUUGGAGGUAAUUGUAGGGCUGUUGUUGUAAACAGUUUCUCUGAAAGCUCCCAACAAAGCAAGAAUCCCUUAUUGAAAACACUCCAUCCAGACAGUGUUGUUUGUCAGUGAUGAGCUGCAGGGAUGCUGGAUCCCUGGCCCUCUUAUAAUCUUCAGCGGUCACGAACCAGGCCACUUGGAAGGAUCUGUUUGAAUCGGGGGGACUUCCAAGAGGAAUCAAAAAAAUCACGCCAGGAGUGCAGCCUGUUCCAUUUAUUCCACUUUCCCUUGCUAAUGAGGGUGAUCUGUGCAAAACAUGAGGCCCCAGAAGGGGCUGACAUGCUGUCUUAAGGGCCAGCUUUUAAAAGGACUUGCGGUGCUGAACUUUCAUUGCAGUAUGGGGUUAAGGAAGGACAUAUGUUAGGAGAGCAGCCACUGCGGGCUCCUUCUUUACCAAGAGAAGAGAGAUCAACACCUUCAAAGCCGAUCUGUCCUACCUGUUAUAGGAUGUGGUAAUCUGCCCUAAAAAAACAGCCAGAGCAAACAGGCUCACAGUUUCGGUACCUCUGUAAGGUGUCUGUGGUUAGCCAAGAGGACUCCAAGCCCUAGAAAUUUUAAGUGCUUUUAAGGAACUGUCCUAAAACCAGCCAGCAGCUGGACCACACCAAUUAACUUGUCCUAUGGACCAGCAAUAAAGAAGGGGAGUAACCCCCCA
rnacentral:lncRNA from 1 species